CUUCAUCCACCAGUCCUCCAGGAACAUCAAGGAUCUUAAACUUUGCCAGAGCUACAAAGGCAAAGUUUAAGAUCCUUGAAGUUCCUGGGGGAACCAU
ensembl:miRNA MIR561 microRNA 561